ensembl:lncRNA
CUCCUCCGGCGCUAUUUUGAGAAACUAUGGAACGCGGAAUUAAAAACGUUGUUGUUUUGUGAUCUUGAAGUAAGUUAGCGCUGCGGGCUAGAAAAUACGGCCUGUGCUUCACUCCAAUUAUUAUCCAGCAUGCUGAAGGAGAUCAAACUGAUCAACUGGUCCUCGUAAAGUAGACACGCCUGAGACAGCUUCCACGGUGAGAAUCAGACUGAAAGCUUGUGGGGGAAACACACUUCGACGUGAAACAUCUGACACUGAGUGGCGGCUGCUGUUCAUGGUUGCCCAGUCGUUACUAGGCAACCACAACGUGCACGCUGCGAUGACGAGAACGCUGCGAUACAACAAGUUGCGAUGCAGUAGUGGAAAGAUAAAUGGAUUAGCCAGCAAAUCAAGUCUCCUCCCCGGGUAUUUUCUUUGGUAUUGGAGGAGUUGUGAGAGGA